CUCAUGAUCUUGGGGUCAUGGGUUCGAGCCCCAUGCUGGGUGUAGAGAUUACUCAAAAAUAAACCAUAAAAUUAAAUAAAUAAAUGAAUACAUAAAACCUGGAAACUACAGUUUUUGUAAUUGCAACUUAUCUUUCUAAGCAAAGUUUUAUUGUAACAGCCAUGUCCAUUCAUUUACUUCUCAACUAUGGCUGCUUUCCUGCUACAACGGUAGUUUUGACAGAGACCAUAUGGCCUGAAAAGCCUAGAGUAUUUAUUAUUAUUAUUUGGACUUCUACAGGGAUAGCUUGCUCAAUCUGAUUUAAAGGAAUAAAAUAAGGUUAUGAGGAGUCUUGCCAGAGUGGAAAGCAUCUCUUUUCUAUGCACAAGGGCAGGAUACCCUUGAAUCCUAAGAUACCUGUCUCUGAAAGCUAUACAGCACAGAGUAGCGGUUAUGAGUAGUCUGGAGCCAGACUGACUGCCUGGGUCUGAACCCCAGCCCUGCUAUUUAACAGCUGUAGAAAACAGCAGUCUCCUCAUCUGUAAAAUGGGGACAACAGUACCUAUUUCAUUGGGUUGCUGGGAUAAAUACAUUAAUUAAUAAUUGCAAAGCCCUCAGAAUAGUGCCUGACACAUUAAAAGCAUUUCAUAAAGGUGAGCUAUUAUUCUUUUCUCUCUCUCACUGUAUAGAGAAACACUUAGUAAGCUUCCUGCCCUGGUGGUGUGCAAGCAGAGACUGGUCUGAAAGACUACAAUAGAGAGGUUAAACUAUGACUUCCAUUGUGUGAUCCAACUUGGAACACAGACUCCAGGAUUCUAAGAUUCUAAAACUGUAUGGCUUAAAAUACCAUGACUUCACAAUUCUUUCAAGUUAACAAGCCAACGAUACUGGCAACUUUCCUUUAUGUUCCCCAAGAAUGUGCUCUGGAAUUUCUAUCCCUAGGGGAAGGCUGCUCUAUUCCUCUAUGCCACAAGGACAAUCAACCACCUUACAAAGUAUUGAGGUUAUCUCUCUAAGGAAAAUCAAAAAGCACCAAGAGUCUGCAGGAGAAUUUGGUUUCCAAGUCUAAGAAUAACUCUUUCUGAAAAUGUUUCCCUUUCUUCAUGUUAUGAAAUGAGAUACACAUAUACUCAGAAUACAAAUCAGCAGCCAGAGUACCCUUGGCAGCCAAAAGAUGAUGCUGCAGAAGAAGGCCUUGCUCAUUUGUCCAGACAGUUUGAGAAGGAAGAAGCAGAGCUAGAGAUCAUUAAGCCCCCAACACAGACAUUUCACAGAUGAGAUGAUGGACAGAUGGCUGACACAGAGCAACUGCUCGCCAGGACUCAGGACCCAGUGCUCCUUCCUCCAACUACAAUAGUUCUCAAGGUUUCCACCUGUGUUAAGAGGCUGCAGAAACUGCCUGGGCUCCCAUCCUGGGCUUUAUCAGUGAGUCAGGUCAAUUCUUCUCUCAAGGAAUACCCUCAUUUGGACUGGACAGUAUCAGAAGGCAUUCUAGUGUUGACAUUCUAAGUCUCUGAGUAUUUCAGUGAGACUUAUGAGAAAAUCACUGCAGUGGACUUUCUACAACUGACUGACAGUCCUGUCCGUACCACUGAGGAUUAUAAAGUCCCCUGGAGCUAUAGCCUCAGCUACCUUGGAGACAAAUCAGUCCCAACCAAGGGGAACAAGGAAAGGAGGAGACAGGCUGUAUUUACUGAAAGCCGCAGAGGAUGCUUGGUAAGUUCGGUUCUCGGUCCCGGUGUCCACUGGGAGGUGGAAGGUGCCUUCAGUACCACAGGAAGACGAGUUCUGUGGCCAGGCCUGUUUCAUCAGCAGAGUUGCUUAAGGGAAGACACAAGAAUGGCAUUAGGCAGAAAUAAGAAGUGGGCACCACCAAUCACAGACACAAAGCAAGGGUCUUGUGCUGGAUGGAAACAUAUAACCCAAGGGGCCCUGUUCAGACACACAGGAUGGUUCAGCCUUUCUGAGAUGGGCGAGUGGGUUGCGGGGAGUGCUGAAGUGAGCUUCCAAAUGAUUUGAAACCAAGGAAAUCUGAGUUUACACUAAGAGAGCCAGGGUUUUCUAUCCACUACCAAAACCUUAUGAAGAUGCCUAUGAAUACCACCUCCUACUGACAUUCUGGCCUAAGGCUCUGGGAUAUUCCUUAGCCGCUUUCUUAUGAAUAUAUCACAACUUGGAGCCUUUGUGUACUGGGCCACAUCAACCAAGUACUCAUUUUUCAUGUCUGAAAUCUCACCUGGGGGGUAUUUAAUAAGUUGUUUUCAAAGAGAGACCUCAAAAGAAUUAUCACGUGACAUGAACCUUACUGGACUGCCAUCUCUUUUAAAGGGACUGAGCUGUGGCGGUUCAGGAGGCAUAGGCUGUCCACAGGGGCUCUUCCCAUUCCUUCUUCUUCUGUACACCCAGCUGGAGCCAGACAGAUAAACAUCUUGCACACCCUUUAUACCUCCUAUUGAGGUGCUGCUGUGCCCCACCUGAGAUAUCUCCUCAUGAAUUAGAGAUGAUCUGCUGGGCCAUUAAGAAAUUCUAUGUCAAACUUGGGAUAGGUGUAAAAUAGAGAUGAGGCCCAGUCUGAAAUCUGCAGACACUUCUCAGGUUCACCUGAAGCUUAGCCUGAGAAAUUUGAAGGAUGAUGUUUCAUAUGAUCUGGAAGUGGGGAAUGACUCAAAAAACUUACCUUCGUGGUAUCCUGUGGGGAAGGAGAGAGGAAAGAGGGUUUCAAAGGGGGGAAAUGCCUAACUUUUAGAGAUUUCUCUUGAUAUACUUUCUCCUAAAGGAGAAACCAUUCUUGACCCAAAUUUCUAUUUAGAGUAGGAAGAACAAUUUUAAUAGUAUCUUUUCCACUCAAAUAACAUCUUGGGUAUGAGGGGUUUUAAAGAACAGUAGCAGGAUGUGGGGGCUACACUGCCAAUAGUUGGAUAUACUGGAAACAUUUUAACAAGGGGCUAAGGUGCAGCACGGUGGCAUGAGAAGUAUGCCUGUCCACUCUGAUUCUGCCAGGGCAAGGACAGCCCGCCUCCAGAGAGAUCCCAUAACCCCUCUGCCCAUCCAGGUAACAGGUAAUGCCUCUGGUUCCUUCGGCCUUGGGAGUACUGCGGCCAGAGGAAGAGGUCAAGGACCCUGCUGUUUUGCCAAACUAAGGCUAGAAGUGUAGCUGUUCUAGGCUGACUCUGUGCUUGCAUUAAUGGCCCGCAAUAUAUACAGCAGAUGCUGAGAAAUGAGAAGGAAAUCAUGGGCAGGAAAGUGACACUAAAAGGAGAAUUCUGGCAGAAGAAAUGGACACCCAGCAGAAUUCCAUGCAGAGUCCAAAGCCUUUGCUGGACACCAAGACAUGGCUCUGCAAACAAUACAGGAGGAGGGCAGUCAAUUUUAAACAAUUACCUUGAGUUUCUUUUCCCCGGGGUGGGAGCAGGGGGUGGGGAUUAAUAAAGGAUCCAAUUAGUGUUGAAAAAUCUUAUCAAGAUGUCUCCAAAUUUAGAAUCUGCCACUCAAUGUGGCUGGAAAGCCCUGGUCACUCCAAACAACUUCCUAAAAAGUGAAACACGUAAUUCUGAGAAGUCAGAUGUCCUCAAGACCCUACAGGGUUCCAUCAGGGAGCAGAAGGCCUGAAUUUAGCCACAUAAAAUUUGGAUGUCCUGUUCCAGGCCAGUUUUUUCCCCCAAGUGGUGCAUACUUCACCAUAAUUUUCAUCAUAAGCCAGAAGUCUGACAUCAGUCUGAAGGACUGCAUGACACUUAAAGCAAAUCAAGAUUAACCAAAGAGUAACUGAAGCCUACACUGCACUCAGCACUGAGGGGAGCGCCACAGUGGACAGGAACACAUGUGGGUCAUGGUCACCGCACACAAGGUACUUAUGGGCUAGCUGGGGAUGCAACACAGCCACACGCCAACCAGAGAGUGAACAAGACAGCAUUAUGCACAAUAAAAUAACAUUCCAGAUUAACCAGGAAAGAAGCAAGUGCGACUGUGCCUUUGAUUAUGUCCUAUCUAACUGAUCAAGUGAACUAAACUGUGUAUGUCCUGAAGAAGUGGGUAUUUCCUUCUGGUUUCAUUAAAAAAGAAAAGAAAACAAA